rnacentral:rRNA from 1 species
GACGAACGCUGGCGGCGGGCUUAACACAUGCAAGUCGAACGGAAAGUCCCUUCGCUUUUGUGGUGCUCGAGUGGCGAACGGGUGAGUAACACGUAAGUAACCUGCCCUUGACUUGAGGAUAACUCCAGGAAACGGGAACUAAUCCCGCAUAACACCUUCUGCUGCCUGGUGGGGGUGGUUAAGCUUCGGCGGUUGGGGAAUGACCCGCGGCUUAUCAGCUUGUUGGGCGGGUAGUGGCUUACCAAGGCUUUGACGGGUAGCCGGCCUGAGAGGGUGACCGGCCACAUUGGGACUGAGAUACCGCCCAGACUCCUACGGGAGGCAGCGGUGGGGAUUAUUGCACAAUGGGCGGAAGCCUGAUGCAGCAACGCCGCGUGCGGGAUGACGGCCUUCGGGUUGUAAACCGCUUUCGCCUGUGACGAAGCGUGAGUGACGGUAAUGGGUAAAGAAGCACCGGCUAACUACGUG